rnacentral:rRNA from 1 species
AACGAACGCUGGCGGCAUGCCUAACACAUGCAAGUCGAACGAGACCUUCGGGUCUAGUGGCGCACGGGUGCGUAACGCGUGGGAACCUGCCCUUAGGUUCGGAAUACCUCCCCGAGAGGGGUGCUAAUACCGGAUAAUGUCUUCGGACCAAAGAUUUAUCGCCUUUGGAUGGGCCCGCGUUGGAUUAGCUAGUUGGUAGGGUAAAAGCCUGCCAAGGCGACGAUCCAUAGCUGGUCUGAGAGGAUGAUUAUCCACACUGGGACUGAGACACGGCCCAGACUCCUACGGGAGGCAGCAGUGGGGAAUAUUGGACAAGGGGCGAAAGCCUGAUCCAGCAAUGCCGGGUGAGUGAUGAAGGCCGUAGGGUUGUAAAGCUCUUUUACCCGGGAUGAUAAUGACAGUACCGGGAGAAUAAGCUCCGGCUAACUCCGUG